ensembl:lncRNA
UUGAUUUCAUAUUUCAGAAACAAGUUUUUGUUUUGUUUUGCUUGUUUGUUUUUUGUGGUCCUGGGGAUCUUACUAAGUGCCUCACACAUGCUAGGCACACACUCUACCACUGAGCUGUAUCUCUUGUCCUUUUUUGUUUUAUUUUGAGACAGACUCCUGCUAUAUCGCCCAGGGUCACCUUGAACUCACAGUCCUCCUGCUGCAGCCUCUGGAGUAGCUGGGAUUGUAGUCAUGUGCCACCAUGCCUGGCCAGAAACAAUGUUUUAGAUGUUGGUUUCCUGGGCCAUUUGGUGGAGAUUAUAGGUAAGAGUUCUAUUUUUUUUUAAGAGUUCUAUUUUUAUAUAUGGUCUAGCCUUUGUCUAUAUAUUCAGUCUGUCAGACUAGAUAGAAUUAUCUUCCCGGAGGUUAAAAAGCCUUGGGGGCACUUAUUUAGCCUGUUUCCAGUUCCCAGGGGUUGUUGUU